AUAAAUAGUCUGAGGUUAGGUGCCCGAAAGGGCUUAAUAGGGAAGUCCGGUGUAAGGCCGGCGCGGUCCCGCCACUGUAAUGAGGAGCAAAGCCAAGAUAUGCCACUGGGAGAAAUCCUGGGAAGGUUUGGUUGCGCGAUGAUUCUGAGCCAGGAGAACUGCCUAGCUGUUAGUCACCGU
rnacentral:ncRNA from 2 species